AUUUUCUUCUAAAACUACACAAAUUAUUUGUUACUUAAGUGCUUACAUAAAAAUUAACAUCAUCCAUUCCCUCACUAGAUUUUGUUUUCCAGACGUUGUUUCCAUCACUUAAAUUAUCACUAAGACUAUCAUCAGGUACGUACGCAAUUAACAAUUCCUUUUUUUUUUUCUUUCUUUUUUCCCAAUAGUCAGAAAUCUUCAUUAAUUUGUACCUUAGAUUGAUUUGUUAUUAUUCUACCAAACAUCAAUCAGUAUUAAAAAUAUUUUAAUCAUAUGUCUAGAUUAAUUUUUUGUUAUUGUUGUGAUGAAUUUUGAGUAAGAUGGCAUGAUUUAGGUAUAAAGGAAAGGUAGAGAAUGGAAUUGGUGAUAUCGCUACCAUUAAUAGUGUUAAUCUUGAUAUUGGCUUUAGCAUGCUACCUUUUGGGGAGGUGCAGGGGUAGUAAACAAUCAAUUUCUCAUCCACAACAGUUUGGGCCUCCAGCUCCUCCACCACAAGCCCAACCAUGAUAACAAAAGGCCCAAAAUUGUUUUAGAUUAUUAUUAGUAUAUGGUUAUUGGACUUUGAAAACUAACUAUUAUAUGUAAUUGUAAAUAAUUAUCUAGUAAUACUAUGUUAAUGCUAUAUUCAUGUAGAAUUGAGCAACACAGAAGGAGAAAAAUUGUCGUAAUACGAUUGAUAUUUAUUAUUGUUACUCAUUCAUGACUUUAUCUUGAAUGUAUAGUUGAAAAAUUUAAUUUUGUUUUCCCAUUAACAGUAUGUUGAAUACUUGAAUGGUUGUUGUUUUGGGAUUAGAUUCAAGAUUAAGACAUGAAUGAGUAACAAUAUAAUAUGUAGUUUUGUUUUUUGGUUACAUGAUAAAAGCAAAAAGAAAAAAGAAAAAGUAAAAGAAAAAACUAUUGGCCGCGAAAAUAAUUGACAUCCAUACUAUCCGCCAUAAGUAGUAAACGGAGUUCAGCUGGAGGAUCAAGAACCAUCAAUAGUUUGCUCAUAGAUCUUGUCCCAAACUUUGCUAAAGAGUCAACACACAUAUUACCCUCUUUGAGUGAGUGACACACAGUGGCGGAACUAGGGGAGGGCUGAGGCGGGCUGCGGCCCUCCCCCAAAAAAUAGGAAAUUACUAAUAUACCCUUGGUAUUUUCAUAAAAUUACAUUAGUAUAAUACUAUAUAUAUUUGUGAAGGUAAUUAGAAAUGGAAGUGCAGCGUUAGCCUAGCUGGUAGAGGUUUCAAUGCCUAAUGCAUUGGAUUUGAAGGUCAUGGGUUCGAACCAUGCCUUCUUUGGUUUUGCUUUUUUUUUAUAUCAAAAAUCAACUUUAACACACAUUCUUGAGGAUAAAUGUCGUCUUAAACAUGUAAAUACAUAAUUUUGAGAUUAAUGUUUUUCUUAUGAUAUAUCAAUUCACAAUUUUUAUUUUUACCAAAAAAAAUAAAACACAACUAUUUUUAAUUUAUUUAAUUCGUGUGUAAUUAUUAUCUUAUAUUUAUUAAUGAAUAAAUUUCAAUCUAAUUUUUUUUUAUUGUCUAAUUAAGCAAGCAUUAGUUCAAAGUCAACUAUUGAUGAUUUCAAGUCAUUUGACAUACACAGUGUAUUAUUUUUUGGUAUGUAAUUUAAUUUUUUAAUUAUCAAAUUAUUGCUUAUUAUGACUUAAAUUUUUAUACACAAUAUAAUUUUUUUUAUUUAAUUUAUAUAUUAUAAAAAUUUUUAACGGCCCACCCAAAGAAAAAUUCCUAGUUCCGCCACUGGUGACACAGUUAAAAGAUCCAAUCAUUAGCCAUAUUUUUUUUAUUAUAGUUAUCUCGUUCCCGUAGUGAUGAGUGGAAACGUCAGCGCGAUGUACCAGAUGAAUAGUAUGCAUAUAGAAUAGAAUUAAUGUAGCAAAUAAUGUUUAUAAAACCUUUAUUCCAGCAAAUCUGAAUCUCGUGCAUCAGGUCCAAGAUUUCAGCAUUAAGAAUAUUCGAGUAUAACCAAUAUUCCCAUGGAAACCACUAAUAAAGCUUCCAUUGGAAUCUCUCUCUGAUUAAACCUCCAAACCCAGCUAUUCCCGGGUUAGUUAGUUUGCGCGCUCCCAUCCACAUUAAGAACAUAUGAAUCAGGGUUGCCUUUUUGCCGGGCAAUAAGUUGGGGUUGAUGGUUUGUAUUCUCCUUAUAUGCAACGCUGAAAGCAUGAGUAACAUCUCUAGUCAUAGCCUUAAUUGAUUUUUGAUAAUAAUUAAGUCAUAAGAGGUGUGUUGUUAUGAUUAUGAUAAAAAAUCUUUGAAUUUCUAGCACAUCAAAUGGUCCACAUGGUAAUAAGGAUCAUAAUACCAAUCUUAUCAAUAUUGUCAUGAAGAACGACAUUAGGACCCACCCAUAGUCAAGUUCCAAUUGGCCCUUGCUCGAUUACAACAAAAACAAUGAACCAAAAUUUCCGGCUCAUUUUCACACAGGGCAUGUGGUGUCCAAGGGGAUACACCUCUAUGAGUCAGGGUAACACGGUGCAACGCUUGGCAAAGAAAGAAUUUAAUAUUGGCUGGUAAUUUGAAGCCGAUCCAUAACCAUUUCCAAGACUAUAUGGAUAUAAGAGGAUUUGACUCCUCAUAAUUACAAUAAUAUUUAGUUUAAUGGGGAAACAAAAUUAAUAUAUAGUUGAAGAAUUUAAUUUUGUUUUCACUCAAAAGAUAUAUUUACUCAUUCAUGAUUUUAUUUUGAGUUAUUAGUAUUACUGUUUUUUUUUU
rnacentral:lncRNA from 1 species